CAUCUUCCUACUAAGUACUGAUAUUUCCUCAGCCAAGAGAGCUUAAUAAAAGCUGAGAAUACACUUUAUUACAUUAAUUUCAUACAGCACAAUUCCUUGUAGCAAUAUGAAAACAAGUUGUUGAAUGUGUGACAGGGUAAUUCACUGAGCACUAAAGGAAAUUGCUAAAAACAAAAAGAAAUUUGUUAUACUCUAAGCUCUCAGUGACAUAUGAGAGCUCCAGUAUUCUGCUGGGAAAAAUGGUCAGCAGCCUUGCGCUGACAUAUGUUAGGUAUCUCUAUUCCCUGAAAUGCAGGUUUGGAUUGACUGAAACUAUCUGAGGCUUUAGGUUAAAUUCCUAGCAAUGUUUUCACUCAAGAAUAUGAAGGAAGCAUUUGAAAAGCCAGACUAUUUAAUUUCAACAUUUUUCUGCAGAAACUCCUUUCAUUUUUAAUUUUUUGGUUUUUUAACUUUCCUUCAGAACACUGCGUGUCUAAAUCUGCCUCAGUCCAGUGACGGGAAGAGAAAGCAACGCCCAAGCCCAGUGUUUGGAGCAUCUCCUCCUCUUUGUCUCUCUCUGCUCAGGCAGAACAGGACGGCAUCUCCUCUGACUCCCUCUGUUUGUCCUCUCCUGCCAGUGGCACUGCAGUUACCUGCAAUGAUCAGUGCAGAGACAACACUGUGGCUGCCAGUGCUUAUGGAGACCUAUUUCACCGUGAAAUACAGGCUCAAAGGCAAGCUAAAACAGAGCCAGCACCUCUUAAAAUCACUGGGGACUUUUGCAAAGACAGAUCAGGGAUUCAGUGAUAGGGCUCCCUCCCCCUGUCCCCACGGUCAGGCUAGGUACCCUUGAGAAAACUGAGUACUCUGCUUAUAUACUGCUGGAAUCUUAAAUAAGCCACUACAUGGCCUAUUUCAUUUUAUGUUAUACAGGAAUUGCAGCUGCAGACAAAUUGGAGAAAACUUUGCUUUGACUAAUGAAGCUUAUCAUGUAUAUUGGGUCUGCAGGAAGAAGAAAGGAAGAUGUAUCACUGGGGGAUGGAACUCAGCUUCAAAGAGGUAUUCCCUGCAGGAUCUGUGGGUGGAGGGAUUCCUUUGGCAAUGUGGCUGUUCCCAGCUGGCAGCAAGAGCCAGCAAACACCUCUGGAGGGACGGGAGAUGUGCUGCCCCAGCCAACACUGAGAUUGCAACCUCACCUACACAGGUCUUCAGCUGUGACGCUGUUCUGCUGGAGCUGCUGUUGGAGAUCAGCAGUAUCAAAAAAGGACAGCAAAAUCAGAUUUAGACAAAUCUUAUUAGCUAUUAUUUAAUUUGUUAGUUUAUUGUGUCUAGUACCAUACAUGUGAGCCAGAAGAGUAGAGCGUGUUUUCAAGUGAGAAGCUCAUGCAGGACUGACACAAUUAUUGAACGUGGCUUUUAAUAGCAAUACAAUUAGAAAGAAGUUUAAUGAAUACAAAUCCUUUCUUAAAUGUUGCUACAAAGUAUGCUGACUUAGCUAUAGAUAAAUCAUACAUAUAUGUACUUUAUAAUAUAUAUGUAUAAAUUGGGAGAAACAAGAUACAAUCAUUCAACAAAAUUUGAACUUUCCCUUUUUUAUGUUCUUGCCCUCAUUAGAUUCCAAAGAGAUGGAGAUUUCUUUGCCUUUAUUUUUGUGAAAGCUUAUAAAAUAUAAGUGAAUAACCCAGCAAUCCCAGAUUUAAAUUCCUUGUUAAGUAGAUAAGUUCUUUAUUCUUAAAGUGAAAUAAAAUUAAGAAAGGCUGAGAUUUAAGAAUUGCA
rnacentral:lncRNA from 1 species